AGUGAACGCUGGCGGUAGGCCUAACACAUGCAAGUCGAACGGCAGCACAGUAAGAGCUUGCUCUUACGGGUGGCGAGUGGCGGACGGGUGAGGAAUACAUCGGAAUCUACUUUUUCGUGGGGGAUAACGUAGGGAAACUUACGCUAAUACCGCAUACGACCUACGGGUGAAAGCAGGGGAUCUUCGGACCUUGCGCGAUUGAAUGAGCCGAUGUCGGAUUAGCUAGUUGGCGGGGUAAAGGCCCACCAAGGCGACGAUUCGUAGCUGGUCUGAGAGGAUGAUCAGCCACACUGGAACUGAGACACGGUCCAGACUCCUACGGGAGGCAGCAGUGGGGAAUAUUGGACAAUGGGCGCAAGCCUGAUCCAGCCAUACCGCGUGGGUGAAGAAGGCCUUCGGGUUGUAAAGCCCUUUUGUUGGGAAAGAAAAGCAGCAGGUUAAUACCCCGCUGUUCUGACGGUACCCAAAGAAUAAGCACCGGUUAACUUCGUG
rnacentral:rRNA from 1 species